rnacentral:rRNA from 1 species
CCUACGGGAGGCUGCAGUGGGGAAUAUUGCGCAAUGGGCGAAAGCCUGACGCAGCGACGCCGCGUGAGGGAUGAAGGUCUUCGGAUCGUAAACCUCUGUCAGCAGGGAAGAACGGUCACUGUGCUAGUCAGCAGUGAAUUGACGGUACCUGCAACGGAAGCACCGGCUAACCCCGUGCCAGCAGCCGCGGAAAUACGGAGGGUGCGAGCGUUAAUCGGAAUUAUUGGGCGUAAAGCGCUCGUAGGCGGUAUGUCAAGUCAAGGGUGAAAUCCCCGCGCUCAAGGUGGGAACUGCCUUUGAUACUGGCAAACUGGAGUGUGUGAGAGGAUAGUGGAAUUCCAGGUGUAGGAGUGAAAUCCGUAGAUAUCUGGAGGAACAUCAGUGGCGAAGGCGACUAUCUGGCACAUAACUGACGCUGAGGAGCGAAAGCGUGGGUAGCAAACAGGAUUAGAUACCCGGGUAGUC